CCCCGCCGUGGGGCCACGGGCAGGACUGGUCACCGGGGCCGGUGCGCACCCUCUGCGGGCCUGGGGACAGACCCUACCUGGCUGCCGCGCUCGUCUCCACCCAGCUGCAUCCUGGGGAGCAAACAGGGUUUUCACUAGCCUGAGAAGGUCGUAUUCAGAAUGUUUUGAAGUGCAGAAAAAACCUAUGCCUCAUUCCUUUAUAUGCUUUAUGCAUAUGGUGCAAUGGUACUCCUGCUUACCAGAGUUUACUGGGGAUUCAGUGUCUUGUCUGAGAUCAUUGCAUCUUCUGCUAUCUCUACAAUUCUCACAGAACUUCAGUAAAGAACAAACAGUCUUGCUGCUGCCUUUUCCUGCCACACCAGGAAUUUCCUGCUGCCUCAUCCAGACUGUCUCCUGGGAUGCCACAUUUUCUAGACACGCACAGUUCCACACUGUGUUUCAAGGAGGACUUACCCUAUCUCAUACAGUGGACCAUGAUGCUUGAAAAAUCUUUUUUUCCACAUUCUGCCUUCCAGAAACAAGGUGGGAAAAAAGCUCCAGUUGAUCACCCCCCUCUUGAGGCCUUCAUCAGGAAAGUUUAAUGAAGCGAACAGACAGAUACAUUUUAUGUGCUAUUUAUAAAGGCUUGUAACAUCACCUCUGUCAUGCUGCCUUCCAGCUGAGAACCCAUGCUGUCAGAAGAGUUAGUAUCUUACAAAAUAAGCCUCCAUUUUGAUUGAAAAAAAUACUUCCAUUGUUAAUAAUCAAAAUUGAUAGAAUGGGAAUCUAAGAAAAAUGAUGACUGAUGGAGUGUGUGAUGACAGAGGGAGCAGUCCUACAGAACCAUGCUGACUGUAGUUUGGACUGCAACUCUGAGAAACCCUAGGGAACUGGAAACAAAGGAAAAGGAAAGGACAAAGCAGACAAGGGAGCUAUGGGCAAGCAGAGCCAGGAACUGAUGGCAGCUCUGCUGCUCAGCUGGCAGCAGUCCUACAGUAGUAACAUGUGUCAUUAAUAAAUUGUCUGCCCCCCCAUGUCCCGAAUUCCAUGGAAUCCUGAAAAUGUAAAUCAAUAAAAAUCAA